GUACGUGCCUACAACAUAGAUUUAAUGCAUCAGAUCCCAUUAGAACUCCAUAGUUAAGCACGCUCGGUCUAGAGUAGUACUGGGAUGGGUGACCACUCAAGAAGUACUAGUAUUUUACAUGCC
rfam:Picea glauca, whole genome shotgun sequence.